rnacentral:rRNA from 1 species
UGUGAUGAGCCCGCGGCCUAUCAGCUUGUUGGUGGGGUAAUGGCCUACCAAGGCGACGACGGGUAGCCGGCCUGAGAGGGCGACCGGCCACACUGGGACUGAGACACGGCCCAGACUCCUACGGGAGGCAGCAGUGGGGAAUAUUGCACAAUGGGCGAAAGCCUGAUGCAGCGACGCCGCGUGAGGGAUGACGGCCUUCGGGUUGUAAACCUCUUUCAGCAGGGAAGAAGCGAAAGUGACGGUACCUGCAGAGGAGGCCAGUUA